AUGAAAGUCAUUUGAAAGUUGUUAUCAGUCAGUUUAAGUAACGUUAGUGAUGCGUCAUAAUCAUUUCCUGUUGGACCGAAUGGAAACUGUAGCUGAGAAGACAUCUAUGAUUUGGACCUGUUUGAAGUAACUAUUAUACGAAAGCAGACACAUCAAAUAAUGUCUGAAAGCCCAAGCCAUUACAUACAGAUAUCACUUCAGAAGACAGAUGCAUCAAUGCUUUUAAAGGGAGAGGUGUUCAGCUGUACUGAGUUUGAUAAAGGGGAUUUUCUGCUGAGGAGACUCGAGCAGUGAAGAAUAUAUCAUCAUGAUGCCCUCAAAGUUAUCAUGUUUGAGUUUCAUUACGAUGGAAAACUCCUCUGGUAUGUAAAAGUGUUUAAUGUGUAUGUAAGAUUGUAAUUAUGACCCUGUUUACACAUGAUGUGUUUUGGUCGAUCCGAUCACUGGGAGUUUGGAGACACAUUGCCAUUUGCACUUUUGUUCAUUUUCAUCCACUUCUGUCCUGAUUUUGUAUAUAGUGUAAAUAUUCAAUUAAUGCUGGACAGUUUGAGCAAAAAUCUGUAUUACUUUUUUUUCUUUCUUUUUUUCUUUUUAAAGAUUAUGGCGGUUUCAUGAUA